GCGGCCUCGGGGCACGGCGGGCCCAGGCCGGAGGAGCUUUCGGUGGCGCGACCCCGCUGGCAUGCUCCCGGCCUCGGCCUCGGCCUCGGCCUUGGCCUCCGGGCCUCCAGCGCACGCGGGGCGUCCAGGGCCUCAUCUUCCCCUGGGGACCGCCCGGCCGUGUCCCGCUGCCCUCGGCGCAGGGGUGGGAGUUGCAGAGAGGAAGAGUCGCUAACCCGGAGUGUUUCUUAAAACUUGGCUGACCUGUGACCUGCGGAUUUGGAGGCUGAAUUCUCCGAGCACCUGAAGCUACUGCAGGAUAUAAUCUAAGAAAAUAAGGGGAAGAAAACAAGAAAGAGGAAGACAUUGGAUCCAAGAAAUGGGGGAUCUAUCACCUUACAGAUGAAAAGAGAAUCUACAUGAUCUUUGUGAAGGUGAUUUGAGCAUAGCAGCUCUGCAGGAAACCUGGAGAGCAACAAGUGAGAUUAAUACAGGACACACAGCUCUAAUAUGACCUUGGGACUUGCUUUAGCCAGUGGAAUGGAAGCAGAAGUAACCUGUAAUUUCCAGGCCCGAGUUCCUGCCACUUCAAGACUUCACCACCUGAGACAAUGAGCAGCAGCAAAGGGAGAAAGCAGCUGCUCAAAUUCUCCAGUAUGUGUGGAUGGAGUGAGGAGGGAUGCUGGGAUAAAAUACUUAGAGAAAAACCCCAGCCCAGGGGCAUGGGCCCAAAUACUGAGGGGCAAAACCUGAACCAGAAGCACCUAUAUGAUGAGAAAGUGAAGAAAAAAAAGGAUGACAGUAAAAUGGUACUGGAAUUAGGGACAUCAUAAAAAUUGACCUCGGUUUUAGAUGUUGAAGAAAUGACAAAAUGAAUAGAAAAAUUAGUAGAGUUAAUAUUUAUGUCUAAUUAUUAUGCAGUAUAUUUCUAUAUAUAAUGUGUUAAUAAAACUUAAAUGUAUUAAAACUAAA
rnacentral:lncRNA from 1 species